rnacentral:rRNA from 1 species
GACGUAGGAUGCGAGCGUUGUCCGGAUUUAUUGGGCGUAAAGAGUUCGUAGGUGGCAUGUCAAGUCUGGUGUUAAAGCCUGGAGCUUAACUCCGGUUCGGCACCGGAUACUGACAAGCUAGAGUGCAGUAGAGGCAAGGGGAAUUCCUAGUGUAGCGGUGAAAUGCGUAGAUAUUAGGAGGAACACCAGUGGCGUAAGCGCCUUGCUGGGCUGUAACUGACGCUGAGGAACGAAAGCCAGGGGAGCAAAUGGG